ACGGAAGGCAGCAGUGAGGAAUAUUGGUCAAUGGGCGAGAGCCUGAACCAGCCAAGUCGCGUGAAGGAAGACGGCCCUAUGGGUUGUAAACUUCUUUUGUACGGGAAUAAAGUCAGAUACGCGUAUCUGUUUGCAUGUACCGUAUGAAUAAGGAUCGGCUAACUCCGUGCCAGCAGCCGCGGUAAUACGGAGGAUCCGAGUGUUAUCCGGAUUUAUUGGGUUUAAAGGGUGCGUAGGCGGGGGAUCAAGUCAGUGGUGAAAUGGUGCGGCUCAACCGUAGCAUUGCCGUUGAAACUGGUUCUCUUGAGUGCGAAUGAGGCAGGCGGAAUGUGUUGUGUAGCGGUGAAAUGCUUAGAUAUGACACAGAACACCGAUUGCGAAGGCAGCUUGCUGGGACGCAACUGACGCUGAGGCUCGAAAGCGUGGGGAGCAAACAGGAUUAGAUACCCUGGUA
rnacentral:rRNA from 1 species